GUCCACACAGUAAACGAUGAAUACUCGCUGUUUGCGAUAUACAGUAAGCGGCCAAGCGAAAGCGUUAAGUAUUCCACCUGGGGAGUACGCCGGCAACGGUGAAACUCAAAGGAAUUGACGGGGCCGCACAAGCGGAGGAACAUGUGGUUUAAUUCGAUGAUACGCGAGGAACCUUACCCGGGCUUGAAUUGCAACUGAAUGAUGUGGAGACAUGUCAGCCGCAAGGCAGUUGUGAAGGUGCUGCAUGGUUGUCGU
rnacentral:rRNA from 1 species